ACGACGACGUCUGUCGAGGUUAACAUCGCCGUUACUGGCUUUAAACGCAAGUAGACAAAAGUACAGUUGUGUGUGUUUCUUGCUUAACUCGUUGUAUAGAUUUUAAACCAAACGGUCUACCAAUCACGAUGACUAAACAAACACGGUUGUACCUAGCUGUCGUCUUGAUGCUAAUGUUCGUAACACUGGAAGCCAGGAACAUCCAUCACCACCAUCAUCACCGUCUGGCAUCAUAUUUUCAGUGCAGUCCGACAGGCAAAUCGUGUAACACAGAUCCAUGUUGCUCUACGUCUGACCAAUGCGAUUGGGACACUCAUUGGCCCUAUAAAGUCUGCAGACGUCUGAUCACACAGGCCGGCAAAUAGUCCUCGGCAACAUUGACAGAAUAACAAGUGAAUGAUGUCGCCUGCUACAAAUGACCACCGGAUGCUUGAUGUACCCAAAUAGCGACAACAACAACAGGGUGCGUCUGCCUACUGUCCGAUUCUGGGAUGUUAACGACUCGCACGAGUAUAAGAUCACCGAGUUUGAAGCUGUUUCUAAAUUUAUUGUGUUUCCAUGCAUUGAGGGAUUUUCACAGUUUUUAUUAAGUGUUCUGUUCUAUUUAAGAAAUCAAAGGAAAAAAUAAAUUCCAUUGAA
rnacentral:lncRNA from 1 species